CAAGCGAGAGUGGUUUAUUCCUUCCCGCUGCUGUGUCUGCCGCACCCCUUUGUACUUCAUCUAGAAGAUUCUAAGCAAUCUUUGAAGCAAAGGGGCUAAUUUUAUUCUGUGUUAAAAAAUUGUAAUCUUUGGGGUUUUAGCCUUUUCAAGUGUUUUUGUCUGUUUAAAGGUUUCCCUAAAGAGGCAGAAAAGUUUGUUUGGACGACAGCUCUCGACAACUGAAAACGUCGUUGCAAAAUAGCGGUCCUUCCAAGUUUAUAGCCCUAGCUUUAGGAAGUCGAGGGCGUUGUCGUGUGAGAACUGGGUGGUUUGUGCCCUGGUGCCGCCUGGCCCAGGAUUUGCAAUUCCUUCUGGGAUUCUGGCGCCCACUGAGUCUCUUUACCUUUGCAUUGUAAAUGAGGGACUGGUGACUUUGGCAGCCCUACAAGUGACUGGACUUUUCCUGGUUCUUGGUAUCCAAGCUUUCUUUUUGCUGACUGGAGUAAUAGCUUCUCCCCGUGUAGUUCUCAUUGAGCCAACAACUCCAGGAAGGAAAUGCAGAGACUCGGGCUGGAUCACCGGUACUGGGUACUGCAAGAGUUGGGAACUCUAAAUCCUCAGCUUUUUGGAAACUUUGGAAUGUUGUAAAAGCUGUAGGGGUUAAACACCAAGCCCAUUUAAACAAAACAAAACACCCCCUUUAGUUUCUGUAGGGCUGUCGUCCAGGACCCUUUCAUAAAAAUCCUUUUGAUCUCCCUAGAUCUGUGCUCUGUGAGGUGGGAGCCUCACUGGGAUUCCAGCACCCCGUUUUCCGAUAGGGUGUGACUGGCCCAAGGUUGCUGGAGAAACUUGGAGUAUUCUAAGAAUUUCAACAAGCAGUGUCUUAAGUAUAGAUAUGUUCAACUGCAAGACCUGUUGUCUGUCCCUGCCCAUCCCCUAUUUCGGUCAUCCACCUGUCACUACUUGACAUUGUAAUUAUUCCUGUAACAAUAUUUGUCAUCUGUUCAGGGCUCCAAAACCAGAUCUGCACAUUUGAAUGAGAUGUUGGGUUUUGGACAAAAAGAGCGGACAUAUGGAAACUGGAAUUUGACAUUGCGUCUUCACAGUUAUGCCUGCCUUUUUUUUAUGUAUAAUUUAUGACUUGAUUAAAUAUCAGGAUUUUGUUGU
rnacentral:lncRNA from 1 species